rnacentral:tRNA from 1 species
GGAGGGGUGGCCGAGUGGCCGAAGGCGGCAGUUUGCUAAACUGUUAAUCGGGUUAAACCGGUUCGUGGGUUCGAAUCCCAUCCCCUCCU